UAUCUCUGUAGAGUCUGCAUAUCAAUAAGCGGAGGAAAAGAAACUAACUAAGGAUUCCCUUAGUAACGGCGAGUGAAGCGGGAAGAGCUCAAAUUUGAAAUCUUCAAGGUUUUACCUUGACGAAUUGUAGUUUAAAGAAGUGUUUUCUGUUAGAAGUUUCGGUAAAAGUUCUUUGGAAUAGGACAUCAUAGAGGGUGAGAAUCCCGUAUUUGACCAGUUACUUUCCAGCUGUUGUGAUACACUUUCAAAGAGUCGGAUUGUUUGGGAAUGCAGUCCAAAAUGGGUGGUAAAUUUCAUCUAAAGCUAAAUAUUGGCGAGAGACCGAUAGCGAACAAGUACCGUGAGGGAAAGAUGAAAAGAACUUUGAAAAGAGAGUUAAACAGUACGUGAAAUUGUCAAAAGGGAAGCGUUUGACACCAGAUGUUGUUUUCUCGAAAAUCAAUUAAAAAUGGCUGAUUUUGUGUUGUAUUGACCUUAUCAAGCUUUCUUCACUCUUUUCAUUGUCUUUUUUAAUGCACUUUUCGUUUAACAAGUCAACAUCAGUUUCUUCUGUUGUAAAAGGGUCAUUGGAAGGUGGCUUUCUUUUCGGAGAAAGUGUUUAUAGCCUUUGCCUCUGCAAUCGGAGAGAUUGAGGUCUGCAGCGUAGAUCCUUCUGGAUUAGAUACAUUUGUGCUAAGUUAUAACCGUUUCAUAGACAACUUGUUGACUAUAUUCGAUCAUGUAGCUUACUCGCUUAUGCUAUUUUACCUACGCUUAGGAUGUUGAUAGUCACAGCGUGUAC
rnacentral:rRNA from 1 species